rnacentral:tRNA from 2 species
UUGAUUAAAACCAAAAGUAGAGGUAUAUUAUUGUUAAUAAUAUCAUUGAAUACAUUUAUUCUAAUCAAG